CAGGAUGAACGCUAGCGGCAGGCUUAACACAUGCAAGUCGAGGGGCAGCGGGAUGUAGCAAUACAUUGCCGGCGACCGGCGGAUGGGUGCGUAACGCGUAUGCAACCUACCUUAUACAGGGGAAUAACCUUUCGAAAGGGAGACUAACACCCCAUAGUAUUGAUUUAAGGCAUCUUAGAUUAAUUAAAUAUUUAUAGGUAUAAGAUGGGCAUGCGUAUGAUUAGCUAGUUGGUAAGGUAACGGCUUACCAAGGCGACGAUCAUUAGGGGUUCUGAGAGGAAGGUCCCCCACACUGGUACUGAGACACGGACCAGACUCCUACGGGAGGCGGCAGUGAGGAAUAUUGGUCAAUGGGCGCAAGCCUGAACCAGCCAUGCCGCGUGCAGGAAAGACGGCCUUAUGGGUUGUAAACUGCUUUUACAUAAGACUAACCGUAUAUUUGCGAAUAUACCUGAAUGUAUUAUGAGAAUAAGGAUCGGCUAACUCCGUGCCAGCCGCUGC
rnacentral:rRNA from 1 species